rnacentral:rRNA from 1 species
GAUGAACGGCUGGCGGCGUGCCUAACACAUGCAAGUCGAGCGAUUCUCUUCGGAGAAGAGCGGCGGACGGGUGAGUAACGCGUGGGUAACCUGCCCUGUACACACGGAUAACAUACCGAAAGGUAUGCUAAUACGAGAUAAUAUACUUUUAUCGCAUGGUAGAAGUAUCAAAGCUCCGGCGGUACAGGAUGGACCCGCGUCUGAUUAGCUAGUUGGUAAGGUAACGGCUUACCAAGGCGACGAUCAGUAGCCGACCUGAGAGGGUGAUCGGCCACAUUGGAACUGAGACACGGUCCAAACUCCUACGGGAGGCAGCAGUGGGGAAUAUUGCACAAUGGGCGAAAGCCUGAUGCAGCAACGCCGCGUGAGCGAUGAAGGCCUUCGGGUCGUAAAGCUCUGUCCUCAAGGAAGAUAAUGACGGUACUUGAGGAGGAAGCCCCGGCUAACUACGUG